rnacentral:misc_RNA from 1 species
AACGCACAUUGCGCCCCCUGGUAUUCCGGGGGGCACACCUGUUCGAGCGCCAUUUCUACCCUGGAGCACUGCUCUGUGAUGGACAGAGGCCCCCCCGUGGGCCCCUCCGAAACUGUUGGGCGCCGUCGUCCGGUCCCGAGCGUAGCAAGAGAAAUCCCUCGCUCGGAACUCCGGUCGGUGGCCGCCCCGAACCAUUUUUACAAGGUUGGCCUCGGAUCAGGUGGGGAUACCCGCUGAACUUAA